rnacentral:lncRNA from 1 species
AGAAAGUGUGGUCAAGCAUUGGAAGAGGUUGCCCAAGAAAGUGUGGAAUGAAUCCCUGUCCCUGGAAGUGUUCAAAAAGCAUGCUGGUGUGCUGCUGAGGGAGGGACAUGGUUAAGUGGUGGACCUGGCAGUGCUGGGUUAACUGUGGGACUCAGUCCUGAUGGUCUUUUCCAGCCUUAAUGGUUACACGAUUCUGUGGGGAGGGACGAGCUUCCCACACCUUCAGCAGCGCUGGGGGCUGCUGCUGCACAGAGCAGAGCAGUGCGGGGAGAGGCAUGGCAACCUUAGCUGGGGGACUGGCAAAGAUUUCCUUGUGAUUUAGACUUGUCAAGGCAAGGCUUUGUGCCUUUGUUUUCACAGGAAGUUUCUGAUUCCCAGUUGUCGCUUACUGCUGUUAAAAGGGAGGAAAGUGACUCAUGGAGUUUCCUAUUGGCCUGAGGAGAUAUGCAGGGAAAUUACUUACCAGGGACUCUGCCCAGACAGCUGAGCGCCUGGCAGCGAGGGAGAAAUCAGGCAGAGAGGUCUCAGAUUCAUUAUCGUGGCUGCAAAUUAAUUGCCUGAACCAGUAAUGCACAGAAACACCUUUCUCCUGGGCACAUGAAGUGGAUGAAAUGAUGCUCUUCAAGUUUAAUUUUAGUUUGUCUAACAAGUUCUGACACUGGGAAUGAAAAAGCGGACAGUGGCAGUAGACACAGUUGCUUGUACUCUCCAGCCACACAGCCCUUGCCUACGUGACUGUCAUGAGCAUUCCAGCCCUGGUUCCUGCUUGGGCUUCCCCCAUGGAAGACAAGGAGUCCUCACUGUGCUCAGAUGCCAAGGCGAGAAAUACCUCCCUAUCAAUAAACAUGUUUCCAAAACUCAGCACCCAGGAAUCCCUCACAUCCCUAAUUGCCCUGAUGCCAUGAGAUGAUUUGAGAUGAUAAAAAUGCACCCACGGGAGCACACACAUGUGCAGAUGAACACAGCACAGGGUGCAAAAGGUUUGGGACUUUGCUUAGUUUUAUUUCAUGUGGUUUAAUUUGAUGCUACAAUGAGAACAGACAUUUGAUUUUUUUUUUUUAAUCAAAGGACAAUACAAAGGAAAUAUUUUAAUAGAGAAGAAGUGUAUAUGUUUUGCUC